GGAGAAAUGGAGAGUGAGGGGUAUGCAAGCUAUGUAGAGAGAGUAGAGCAGUAGCAGCUCUGGGAGCAGUGCAGUCAGGACAGUAACCCCCCCUGCACCUGCCUGUCUACACACUGGGGCCAUUGUGCUCCAGUCACACACACACUCUCGCUAGUGUUAGUGAGGUCACCUAACUUAGCCUAGGUGUUUAGAUGGUGUGUGUGAGCAGCCCCUGGCUCACCUAACCUGGCCAUGGUAUAGUUGGAGUAAGGUGUGUGUGUGUGUGUGUGUCUGUCUUUGUGUGUGUCUUUGUGUCUGGGCUCUGGCUGGGAGACAGGUGGAGAAAAAGGGGAGGUGGUGCGUGUGUGUGUGUGUGUAGGCUUUGUGUUGCUGGCAACAACAGUGCACUGUGGCAAGCCAUUGAGUCACAGCAUUGGUGGCGUGGAUUUCUCUGUUCCAGUGCAGGUGUGUGUGGGCUCCCUGUGCGUGGUGUUGUCUGUUGUUCUGUCUGCUUGUGUGUGUGUGUGUGUGUACCAGUUGUGUCCCUGGUGUGUGGGUGUGUGUCAGUCUUUCUCUUCUCUGUGUGUGUGGCUGCAGGCAAGGAGGGGAGAGAAGGAGAGAAGUGUGUGGGACUGUGAGUUGCUUCAGAAUUCUCUCGUUCCUCUGGCUUGUGUGUGUUUUGUGGGUGAAAGAUAUCUGCCUGAUUUGCUGGUAUCAAUUGGUGUACAGGGAUGUUGUAGUGUUGUUGGAGGUUAGGACUAGUAACAGUGAUGUUGUAGUGGAGGUUAGGACUGGUAACAGGGAUGUUGUAGUGUUGGUGGAGGUUAGGACUGGUAACAGGGAUGUUGUAGUGGAGGUUAGGACUAGUAACAGGGAUGUUGUAGUGGAGGUUAGGACUAGUAACAGGGAUGUUGUAGUGUUGUUGGAGGUUAGGACUUGUAACAGGGAUGUUGUAGUGUUGUUGGAGGUUAGGACAAGUAACAGGGAUGUUGUAGUGUUGGUGGAGGUUAGAAUUAGUAACAGGGAUGUUGUAGUGGAGGUUAGGACUGGUAACAGGGAUGUUGUAGUGGAGGUUAGGACAAGUAACAGGGAUGUUGUAGUGUUGUUGGAGGUUAGGACUAGUAACAGGGAUGUUGUAGUGGAGGUUAGGACUAGUAACAGGGAUGUUGUAGUGUUUGUAGAGGUUAGGACUAGUAACAGGGAUGUUGUAGUGUUGGUGGAGGUUUGGAGGAGUAACAGGGAUGUUGGUGGAGGUUAGGAGGAGUAACAGGGAUGUUGUAGUGUUGGUGGAGGUUAGGAGUAGUAACAGGGAUGUUGUAGUGUUGGUGGAGGUUAGGAGUAGUAACAGGGAUGUUGUAGUGUUGGUGGAGGUCAGGAGUAGUAACAGGGUUUCUGAGCCAUGCUGGUGUUGAUGUUGUCUCUAUGGAAGUGCUGCCCUGGAAGAACAAGGUAGUCAUCCAGUGUUGUCGAC
ensembl:lncRNA